UACAGAGGGUGCAAGCGUUAAUCGGAUUUACUGGGCGUAAAGCGUGCGCAGGCGGCUUUGCAAGACAGAUGUGAAAUCCCCGGGCUCAACCUGGGAACUGCAUUUGUGACUGCAAGGCUAGAGUACGGCAGAGGGGAUGGAAUUCCGCGUGUAGCAGUGAAAUGCGUAGAUAUGCGGAGGAACACCAAUGGCGAAGGCAAUCCCCUGGGCCUGUACUGACGCUCAUGCACGAAAGCGUGGGGAGCAAACAGG
rnacentral:rRNA from 1 species